UUAAGCGACUAAGCGUACACGGUGGAUGCCCUGGCAGUCAGAGGCGAUGAAGGACGUGCUAAUCUGCGAAAAGCGUCGGUAAGGUGAUAUGAACCGUUAUAACCGGCGAUGUCCGAAUGGGGAAACCCAGUGCAAUUCGUUGCACUAUCGUUAACUGAAUACAUAGGUUAACGAGGCGAACCGGGGAACUGAAACAUCUAAGUACCCGAGGAAAAGAAAUCAACCGAGAUUCCCCAGUAGCGGCGAGCGAACGGGAGCAGCCCAGAGUCUGAAUCAGCUUGUGUGUUAGUGGAACGGUCUGGAAAGUCCGACGGUACAGGGUGAUAGUCCCGUACACCAAAAUGCACAGGUUGUGAACUCGAAGAGUAGGGCGGGACACGUGGUAUCCUGUCUGAAUAUGGGGGGACCAUCCUCCAAGGCUAAAUACUCCUGACUGACCGAUAGUGAACCAGUACCGUGAGGGAAAGGCGAAAAGAACCCCGGCGAGGGGAGUGAAAAAGAACCUGAAACCGUGUACGUACAAGCAGUGGGAGCACCUUCGGGUGUGACUGCGUACCUUUUGUAUAAUGGGUCAGCGACUUAUAUUCUGUAGCAAGGUUAACCGUAUAGGGAGCCGCAGGAAACCGAGUCUUAACUGGGCGUUAAGUUGCAGGGUAUAGACCCGAAACCCGGUGAUUCAGCCAUGGGCAGGUUGAAGGUUGGGUAACACUAACUGGAGGACCGAACCGACUAAUGUUGAAAAAUUAGCGGAUGACUUGUGGCUGGGGUGAAAGGCCAAUCAAACCGGGAGAUAGCUGGUUCUCCCGAAAGCUAUUUAGGUAGCGCCUCGUGAAUUCAUCUUCGGGGUAGAGCACUGUUUCGGCUAGGGGUCAUCCCGACUUACCAACCCGAUGCAAACUACGAAUACCGAAGAAUGUUAUCACGGGAGACACACGGCGGUGCUAACGUCCGUCGUGAAGAGGAAACAACCCAGACCGCCAGCUAAGGUCCCAAAGUCAUGGUUAAGUGGAAACGAUGUGGGAAGGCACAGACAGCCAGGAUGUUGGCUUAGAAGCAGCCAUCAUUUAAAGAAAGCGUAAUAGCUCACUGGUCGAGUCGGCCUGCGCGGAAGAUGUAACGGGGCUAAACCAUGCACCGAAGCUGCGGCAGCGACACUAUGUGUUGUUGGGUAGGGGAGCGUUCUGUAAGCCUGCGAAGGUGGCCUGUGAGGGUUGCUGGAGGUAUCAGAAGUGCGAAUGCUGACAUAAGUAACGAUAAAGCGGGUGAAAAGCCCGCUCGCCGGAAGACCAAGGGUUCCUGUCCAACGUUAAUCGGGGCAGGGUGAGUCGACCCCUAAGGCGAGGCCGAAAGGCGUAGUCGAUGGGAAACAGGUUAAUAUUCCUGUACUUGGUGUUACUGCGAAGGGGGGACGGAGAAGGCUAUGUUAGCCGGGCGACGGUUGUCCCGGUUUAAGCAUGUAGGCUGGUUAUCCAGGCAAAUCCGGAUAAUCAAGGCUGAGGUGUGAUGACGAGGCACUACGGUGCUGAAGUAACAAAUGCCCUGCUUCCAGGAAAAGCCUCUAAGCAUCAGGUAACAUUAAAUCGUACCCCAAACCGACACAGGUGGUCAGGUAGAGAAUACCAAGGCGCUUGAGAGAACUCGGGUGAAGGAACUAGGCAAAAUGGUGCCGUAACUUCGGGAGAAGGCACGCUGGUGUGUAGGUGAAGUCCCUGCGGAUGGAGCUGAGACCAGUCGAAGAUACCAGCUGGCUGCAACUGUUUAUUAAAAACACAGCACUGUGCAAACACGAAAGUGGACGUAUACGGUGUGACGCCUGCCCGGUGCCGGAAGGUUAAUUGAUGGGGUUAUCCGUAAGGAGAAGCUCUUGAUCGAAGCCCCGGUAAACGGCGGCCGUAACUAUAACGGUCCUAAGGUAGCGAAAUUCCUUGUCGGGUAAGUUCCGACCUGCACGAAUGGCGUAAUGAUGGCCAGGCUGUCUCCACCCGAGACUCAGUGAAAUUGAACUCGCUGUGAAGAUGCAGUGUACCCGCGGCAAGACGGAAAGACCCCGUGAACCUUUACUAUAGCUUGACACUGAACAUUGAGCCUUGAUGUGUAGGAUAGGUGGGAGGCUUUGAAGCGUGGACGCCAGUCUGCGUGGAGCCAACCUUGAAAUACCACCCUUUAAUGUUUGAUGUUCUAACGUUGGCCCCUGACCGGGGUUGCGGACAGUGUCUGGUGGGUAGUUUGACUGGGGCGGUCUCCUCCCAAAGCGUAACGGAGGAGCACGAAGGUUAGCUAAUCCUGGUCGGACAUCAGGAGGUUAGUGCAAUGGCAUAAGCUAGCUUGACUGCGAGCGUGACGGCGCGAGCAGGUGCGAAAGCAGGUCAUAGUGAUCCGGUGGUUCUGAAUGGAAGGGCCAUCGCUCAACGGAUAAAAGGUACUCCGGGGAUAACAGGCUGAUACCGCCCAAGAGUUCAUAUCGACGGCGGUGUUUGGCACCUCGAUGUCGGCUCAUCACAUCCUGGGGCUGAAGUAGGUCCCAAGGGUAUGGCUGUUCGCCAUUUAAAGUGGUACGCGAGCUGGGUUUAGAACGUCGUGAGACAGUUCGGUCCCUAUCUGCCGUGGGCGCUGGAGAAUUGAGGGGGGCUGCUCCUAGUACGAGAGGACCGGAGUGGACGCAUCACUGGUGUUCGGGUUGUCAUGCCAAUGGCACUGCCCGGUAGCUAAAUGCGGAAGAGAUAAGUGCUGAAAGCAUCUAAGCACGAAACUUGCCCCGAGAUGAGUUCUCCCUGAGACUUUAAGUCUCCUGAAGGAACGUUGAAGACGACGACGUUGAUAGGCCGGGUGUGUAAGCGCAGCGAUGCGUUGAGCUAACCGGUACUAAUGAACCGUGAGGCUUAACCU
rnacentral:rRNA from 1 species